rnacentral:rRNA from 1 species
GACGAACGCUGGCGGCGCGCCUAACACAUGCAAGUCGAACGGAGCUGCUUUGACAGAUCUCUUCGGAGUGACGUUGAUUCAGCUUAGUGGCGAACGGGUGAGUAACACGUGAGCAACCUACCUUUCAGAGGGGGACAACAGUUGGAAACGGCUGCUAAUACCGCAUAAGACCACGCUGCGGCAUCGCAGAGAGGUCAAAGGAGAAAUCCGCUGAAAGAUGGGCUCGCGUCCAAUUAGCUAGAUGGUGAGGUAACGGCUCACCAUGGCGACGAUUGGUAGCCGGACGGAGAGGUUGAACGGCCACAUUGGGACUGAGACACGGCCCAGACUCCUACGGGAGGCAGCAGUGGGGAAUAUUGCACAAUGGAGGAAACUCUGAUGCAGCGACGCCGCGUGAAGGAAGAAGGUCUUCGGAUUGUAAACUUCUGUUGUCAGGGACGAUAAUGACGGUACCUGACGAGAAAGCCACGGCUAACUACGUGCCAGCCGCCGCUGUAAAAC